rnacentral:tRNA from 1 species
AAGAGAUUAGUUAAUUCAAUAACACUAGUAUGUCAUACUAAAAUUAUCACAAGGUAUCUCUUU